rnacentral:rRNA from 1 species
AUGAGGCCCGUGUUCGUGGGGAACCUGGACUACGACACCCGCCACUCGGAGCUCGACCGCCUCUUCUACCGCUACGGCAGGAUCGAGCGCAUCGACAUGAAGUCAGGGUUUGCUUUUGUCUACUUUGAGGAUGAGCGUGAUGGUGAUGAUGCCAUACGGGCUCUGGAUGGUUAUCCCUUUGGCCCUGGGAGACGCAGACUUUCAGUGGAGUGGUCCCGGGGCGACCGUGGAACCAGACGUGAUGACCGUGAUGGCUACAGUAAACCACCGGUGAAUACCAAGCCUACUAAGACACUGUUUGUCAUUAACUUUGACCCGAUCAACACAAGAGUCAGUGAUCUUGAAAGGCAUUUUGGUCAUUUUGGGAGGAUUUCAAAUGUUCGGAUAAGGAAGAACUUUGCUUUCGUGCAAUUUGAAACACAGGAAGAAGCCACAAAAGCCCUAGAUGCUACUCAUUUGACGAAGUUACUGGACAGAGUGAUUUCUGUUGAGUAUGCCUUCAGGGAUGAUAGUGAACCAGGUGACAAGUAUGACAGGCCAAGUAGAGGUGGUGGCUAUGGAAGGCAGGAUGACAGUUCAUAUCGCCGUUCUGUUAGCCCAAUGUACCGAAGGUCACGACCUAGUCCUGACUAUGGCCGUCCAGCAAGUCCUCAGUAUGGUGCAUAUGGCAGGAGCAGGAGUCCUGUUCGUGAUCGAUAUCGAAGAUCCCCAGCUCCCAACAGAAGAGGUUAUGACUGA